UGCCUUUGCGAGAGCGGAGUUGGGUUCUCCUCAGCACAGACGCGGAGAGCAUCGCGAGGGCGGAGCUGCGUUCUCAUCUGCACAGAUUUCAGUGGUACUGCGAAGGCGGAGCAGAGUUCUCCUCAGAUGAUGAUUAUUCCCCACCUUCUAAGAGACAAAGACCAACGAGCCGCCACAGCCACCAGUCCCAGAACCCGCCAAUGCUGGGGAACGGAAAAUGAGGGAGUUCAACUCUGGCCCUCACAAUCCAGUGGAGGAGACGCAACUCAUCUGCCUCUGUCCCUCUGGGCACGCCUCGUGCCAGGUGCAUCUGUGGACAGGGGCCAUGCUCCUGGGCUUCCAAAGUUGGAGAAAGCUGCCAGGCUCAGGUCUGAAGGCCAGAAUUCUACAGUAAGUCCUACUGAGUCAAGGUGGGAGCAGGGUCGGUAGCUUCCGAGGCUCUGCGGGAGAAUCUGUUUCCUGGCCGUAGAGGUGGCCUGCACUCCUCAGCCUGUGCUGCCCGUCUCGAAUGACUGGAGUUUCCUGCUUCUGUCACUACACCUCCCACCCUCUCCAUCACCUGCUCUGCUCUUACAAGGAUCCGAAGAAAUGGAAUCAUCGUAUCGCUGAUCUACGUAAACAAACUGAAGAAUUGUCUGAAAGAAAAUAUGACAUGAACUUAUGAAUUCAAUAGGUGAAGAUUUACAACUUGAUAAAUCAACUUUGUCAGCUCGAGCUGUAAAAGCCAAAGGUCCGGUGAUGAUCCCAUACCCUUUUUUCCAGUCUCAUGUUGAAGAUUUUUAUGUAGAAGGCCUUCCCAAAGGAAUUUUUUUUUUUUUUUUUUUUUUGAGAUGGAGUUUUCACUCUUAUCGCCCAGGCUGGGGUGCAAUGGCACAACCUUGCUGGUCACUGCAACCUCUGCCUCCUGGGUUCAAGAAAUUCUCCUGCCUUAGCCUCCCAAGUCACUGGGAUUACAGGUGCCCACCACCACACCAGGCUAAUUUUUGUAUUUUUAGUGGAGAUGCGGUUUCACCAUGUUGGCCGGGCCAGUCUCGAACUCCUGACGUCAAGUGAUCUUCCCGCCUCGACUCCUGAUAUCAAGUGAUCUUCCCGCCUCGGCCUCCCAGAGUGCUGAGAUUACAGACGUGAACCCAUGCCUGGCCAGGAAUUUUGUUUUUUAGGAAGGCUUUCUACUAAUGGAAUUCCUGGCCUUGAGAGGAUGUUACUUUAGAAGGAAAGGAUUUUUUUGUUAUUAAAAGAGCCACCUAAGCUGAAGAUUCCCUUGAGAACAAGUACUGUCCCUAGUUUCCCAGUGCUGGAAUAUAGAAAAUGGAUGGACAACUGGACCUACCAUGAAAGACUUCUGAAUCCAGGAAGAGAAACUGACUGGGCAACAUGUUAUUCAGACUUCUGACCAAAUGUGUGUGCAGAGUUUCUACACCAGUUCUCCAACUCUCUGGAUACCAACCGCGUAUCCCACAAUUCCAUUCUGACACUACCUAGAGUUAGCACAGAACCCACAGGUUAGGGGCUCAGUCCCACAAGACCACCCUCACUUCAGAUGCCAGUUGCAAGUCCUAGGUUGUCACCUGUAUUUUGACCAACCAGUUAGAAAUCAGGGUUUCCCAUGACCCUCUUGUUGAGUUUAAUUAUUUACUAGAACAACUCACAGAACUUAGAAAAACAAGUUUUUUUUCUUUUCUU
rnacentral:lncRNA from 1 species